rnacentral:tRNA from 2 species
GCGGGUAUAGCUCAGUUGGCAGAGCGUCAGAUUGUGGCUCUGAAAGUCACGGGUUCGAGCCCCGUUACUCGCCCA